UACUCCUACGGGAGGCAGCAGUGGGGAAUAUUGGACAAUGGACCAAAAGUCUGAUCCAGCAAUUCUGUGUGCACGAUGACGUUUUUCGGAAUGUAAAGUGCUUUCAGUUGGGAAGAAAAAAAUGACGGUACCAACAGAAGAAGUGACGGCUAAAUACGUGCCAGCAGCCGCGGUAAUACGUAUGUCACAAGCGUUAUCCGGAUUUAUUGGGCGUAAAGCGCGUCUAGGUGGUUAUGUAAGUCUGAUGUGAAAAUGCAGGGCUCAACUCUGUAUUGCGUUGGAAACUGCAUGACUAGAGUACUGGAGAGGUAAGCGGAACUACAAGUGUAGAGGUGAAAUUCGUAGAUAUUUGUAGGAAUGCCGAUGGGGAAGCCAGCUUACUGGACAGAUACUGACGCUAAAGCGCGAAAGCGUGGGUAGCAAACAGGAUUAGAUACCCUGGUAGUCCACGCCGUAAACGAUGAUUACUAGGUGUUGGGGGUCGAACCUCAGCGCCCAAGCUAACGCGAUAAGUAAUCCGCCUGGGGAGUACGUACGCAAGUAUGAAACUCAAAGGAAUUGACGGA
rnacentral:rRNA from 1 species